GGACAUUACCGAGUUUACAACUCCCAAACCCCUGUGAACAUACCACUUGUUGCCUCGGCGGAUCAGCCCGCUCCCGGUAAAACGGGACGGCCCGCCAGAGGACCCCUAAACUCUGUUUCUAUAUGUAACUUCUGAGUAAAACCAUAAAUAAAUCAAAACUUUCAACAACGGAUCUCUUGGUUCUGGCAUCGAUGAAGAACGCAGCAAAAUGCGAUAAGUAAUGUGAAUUGCAGAAUUCAGUGAAUCAUCGAAUCUUUGAACGCACAUUGCGCCCGCCAGUAUUCUGGCGGGCAUGCCUGUUCGAGCGUCAUUUCAACCCUCAAGCACAGCUUGGUGUUGGGACUCGCGUUAAUUCGCGUUCCCCAAAUUGAUUGGCGGUCACGUCGAGCUUCCAUAGCGUAGUAGUAAAACCCUCGUUACUGGUAAUCGUCGCGGCCACGCCGUUAAACCCCAACUUCUGAAUGUUGACCUCGGAUCAGGUAGGAAUACCCGCUGAACUUAAGCAUAUCAAUAAGCGGAGGGAAAAAAAAC
rnacentral:rRNA from 1 species